GCGCUGAUGAAGAGUCCAAAACCAGGACGAAACAGCUGUCCAGUAC
rnacentral:hammerhead_ribozyme from 1 species